AGACCCGAAACCCGGUGAUCUAGCCAUGGGCAGGUUGAAGGUUGGGUAACACUAACUGGAGGACCGAACCGACUAAUGUUGAAAAAUUAGCGGAUGACCUGUGGCUGGGGGUGAAAGGCCAAUCAAACCGGGAGAUAGCUGGUUCUCCCCGAAAGCUAUUUAGGUAGCGCCUCGUGAAUUCAUCUCCGGGGGUAGAGCACUGUUUCGGCUAGGGGGCCAUCCCGGCUUACCAACCCGAUGCAAACUGCGAAUACCGGAGAAUGUUAUCACGGGAGACACACGGCGGGUGCUAACGUCCGUCGUGAAGAGGGAAACAACCCAGACCGCCAGCUAAGGUCCCAAAGUCAUGGUUAAGUGGGAAACGAUGUGGGAAGGCCCAGACAGCCAGGAUGUUGGCUUAGAAGCAGCCAUCAUUUAAAGAAAGCGUAAUAGCUCACUGGUCGAGUCGGCCUGCGCGGAAGAUGUAACGGGGCUAAACCAUGCACCGAAGCUGCGGCAGCGAACGUAUCACUUAAAGCGAUUCAGCGGGUUACGAUUGACGGAGCGAAGCGACGUCAAAGCGUAUACAAAGUCGAGUCGGUUUAAGGAUACGUUCGUUGGGUAGGGGAGCGUUCUGUAAGCCUGUGAAGGUGUGUCGUGAGGCAUGCUGGAGGUAUCAGAAGUGCGAAUGCUGACAUAAGUAACGAUAAAGCGGGUGAAAAGCCCGCUCGCCGGAAGACCAAGGGUUCCUGUCCAACGUUAAUCGGGGCAGGGUGAGUCGACCCCUAAGGCGAGGCCGAAAGGCGUAGUCGAUGGGAAACGGGUUAAUAUUCCCGUACUUGGUGUUACUGCGAAGGGGGGACGGAGAAGGCUAUGUUGGCCGGGCGACGGUUGUCCCGGUUUAAGCGUGUAGGCUGGUUUUCCAGGCAAAUCCGGAAAAUCAAGGCUGA
rnacentral:rRNA from 1 species